rnacentral:rRNA from 1 species
UGAGUCGACCCCUAAGGCGAGGCAGAGAUGCGUAGCUGAUGGGAAACGGGUUAAUAUUCCCGUACUGGUGUAUAUUGCGAUGGGGGGACGGAGAAGGCUAGGUUUACCACCUAUUGGAUGGUGGGUUAAGCGUGUAGGGGUGUGAUUAGGCAAAUCCGGUCACUAAAACUCUGAGGCGUGAUGACGAGGCACUAAGGUGCUGAAGUAAUUGAUGCCCUGCUUCCAGGAAAAUCCUCUAAGCAUCAGAUAUACAUUAAUCGUACCCGAAACCGACACAGGUGGUCAGGUAGAGAAUACUAAGGCGCUUGAGAGAACUCGGGUGAAGGAACUAGGCAAAAUGGUGCCGUAACUUCGGGAGAAGGCACGCUGAUGGUAAUUGAAGUCCCAUGCGGAUGGAGGUGAAAUCAGUCGAAGAUACCAGCUGGCUGCAACUGUUUAAUAAAAACACAGCACUGUGCAAACACGAAAGUGGACGUAUACGGUGUGACGCCUGCCCGGUGCUGGAAGGUUAAUUGAUGGGGUUAAGCGUAAGCUGAAGCUCUUGAUCGAAGCCCCAGUAAACGGCGGCCGUAACUAUAACGGUCCUAAGGUAGCGAAAUUCCUUGUCGGGUAAGUUCCGACCUGCACGAAUGGCGUAAUGAUGGCCAGGCUGUCUCCACCCGAGACUCAGUGAAAUUGAAUUUGCCGUGAAGAUGCGGUGUACCCGUGGCAAGACGGAAAGACCCCGUGAACCUUUACUAUAGCUUGACAGUGAACAUUGAGCCUUAAUGUGUAGGAUAGGUGGGAGACUAAGAAGUGUGGACGCUAGUUUGCAUGGAGUCGACCUUGAAAUACCACCCUUUAAUGUUUGAUGUUCUAACGUAGGGCCCUGAAUCGGGCUUACGGACACUGUCUGGUGGGUAGUUUGACUGGGGCGGUCUCCUCCCAAAGAGUAACGGAGGAGCACGAAGGUUAGCUAAUCCUGGUCGGACAUCAGGAGGUUAGUGCAAUGGCAUAAGCUAGCUUGACUGCGAGAGUGACGGCUCGAGCAGGUACGAAAGUAGGUCAUAGUGAUCCGGUGGUUCUGAAUGGAAGGGCCAUCGCUCAACGGAUAAAAGGUACUCCGGGGAUAACAGGCUGAUACCGCCCAAGAGUUCAUAUCGACGGCGGUGUUUGGCACCUCGAUGUCGGCUCAUCACAUCCUGGGGCUGGAGCAGGUCCCAAGGGUUGGGCUGUUCGCCCA